CGCCAGACUCCUACGGGAGGCAGCAGUGGGGAAUAUUGCACAAUGGGGGAAACCCUGAUGCAGCGACGCCGCGUGAGCGAUGAAGUAUUUCGGUAUGUAAAGCUCUAUCAGCAGGGAAGAAGAUGACGGUACCUGACUAAGAAGCCCCGGCUAACUACGUGCCAGCAGCCGCGGUAAUACGUAGGGGGCAAGCGUUAUCCGGAUUUACUGGGUGUAAAGGGAGCGUAGACGGCGAUGCAAGCCAGAUGUGAAAGCCCGGGGCUCAACCCCGGGACUGCAUUUGGAACUGUGUGGCUGGAGUGUCGGAGAGGCAGGCGGAAUUCCUAGUGUAGCGGUGAAAUGCGUAGAUAUUAGGAGGAACACCAGUGGCGAAGGCGGCCUGCUGGACAGAAACUGACGUUGAGGCUCGAAAGCGUGGGGAGCAAACAGGAUUAGAUACCCGUGUA
rnacentral:rRNA from 1 species